GAUUCGUUUCUCCAAAUCAGCAAUUUAGUUGGGAAUCCCCAUCUAUAAUUCACGUUGUUAUCUCUUAAAUAUUUAGUAACUCUUUGAAAAUCUCUUCUUCUUGCUAUAGUCAUGGCAGAUAAGUCCGCAAACAGUGAGAUAUGCGUGAAUGCUGGCGGCAUUGUUGUAACCCUUCUUUGGGUGGAUAAGAUCAUCUCUUUUGUACUGAAAUAAUGUAGCCUCACCACAAUGUCUCUGGGAACUUCAGUAGUUAAAAUUUUAGGCUUUG